rnacentral:rRNA from 1 species
AUACGUAGGGCGCAAGCGUUAAUCGGAAUUACUGGGCGUAAAGCGUGCGCAGGCGGUUUUGUAAGACAGUGGUGAAAUCCCCGGGCUCAACCUGGGAACUGCCUUUGAGACUGCAAGGCUGGAGUGCGGCAGAGGGGGGUGGAAUUCCGCGUGUAGCAGUGAAAUGCGUAGAUAUGUGGAGGAACACCGAUGGCGAAGGCAAUCCCCGGGGCCUGCACUGGCGCUCAUGCACGAAAGCGUGGGGAGCAAACAGGAUUAGAUACCCUGGUAGUCCACGCCCUAAACGAUGUCAACUGGUUGUUGGGGAUUUAUUUUCUCAGUAACGAAGCUAACGCGUGAAGUUGACCGCCUGGGGAGUACGGCCGCAAGGUUAAAACUCAAAGGAAUUGACGGGG